rnacentral:rRNA from 1 species
GAAGGGGCUAGCGUUGCUCGGAAUUACGUGGGCGUAAAGGGAGCGUAGGCGGGUUAUCAAGUUGGAGGUGAAAGCCCAGGGCUCAACCUUGGAAUUGCCUUACAAAACUGAUAACCUAGAGGAUGAUAGAGGUAAGUGGAACUCCGAGUGUAGAGGUGAAAUUCGUAGAUAUUCGGAAGAACACCAGUGGCGAAGGCGACUUGCUGGAUCAUUACUGACGCUGAGGCUCGAAAGCGUGGGGAGCAAACAGGAUUAGAUACCCUGGUAGUCCACGCCGUAAACGAUGAUUGCUAGUUGUCAGCCGGCAUGCCGGUUGGUGACGCAGCUAACGCAUUAAGCAAUCCGCCUGGGGAGUACGGUCGCAAGAUUA